rnacentral:rRNA from 1 species
GACGAACGCUGGCGGCGUGCUUAACACAUGCAAGUCGAACGGAAAGGCCCUGCUUUUGUGGGGUGCUCGAGUGGCGAACGGGUGAGUAACACGUGAGUAACCUGCCCUUGUCUUUGGGAUAACUUCAGGAAACUGGGGCUAAUACCGGAUAGGAGCUCCUGCUGCAUGGUGGGGGUUGGAAAGUUUCGGCGGUUGGGGAUGGACUCGCGGCUUAUCAGCUUGUUGGUGGGGUAGUGGCUUACCAAGGCUUUGACGGGUAGCCGGCCUGAGAGGGUGACCGGCGACAUUGGGACUGAGGUACGGCCCAGACGGCUACGGGAGGCAGAAGGGGGGAAUAUUGCGCAAUGGGCGGAAGCGUGAUGCAGCAACGCCGCGUGCGGGAUGACGGCCUUCGGGUUGUAAACCGCUUUCGAAUGUGACGAAGCGUGAGUGACGGUAAUGGGUAAAGAAGCACCGGCUAACUACGUG